rnacentral:rRNA from 1 species
UACGUAGGGUGCGAGCGUUAAUCGGAAUUACUGGGCGUAAAGCGUGCGCAGGCGGUGAUGUAAGACCGAUGUGAAAUCCCCGGGCUUAACCUGGGAACUGCAUUGGUGACUGCAUUGCUGGAGUAUGGCAGAGGGGGGUGGAAUUCCACGUGUAGCAGUGAAAUGCGUAGAGAUGUGGAGGAACACCGAUGGCGAAGGCAGCCCCCUGGGCCAAUACUGACGCUCAUGCACGAAAGCGUGGGGAGCGAACAGG